AAUGAGGCGAACCGGGGGAACUGAAACAUCUAAGUACCCCGAGGAAAAGAAAUCAACCGAGAUUCCCCCAGUAGCGGCGAGCGAACGGGGAGCAGCCCAGAGCCUGAAUCAGUGUGUGUGUUAGUGGAAGCGUCUGGAAAGGCGCGCGAUACAGGGUGACAGCCCCGUACACAAAAAUGCACAUGCUGUGAGCUCGAUGAGUAGGGCGGGACACGUGGUAUCCUGU
rnacentral:rRNA from 1 species